ACGCUGGCGGCAGCCUCAUACAUGCAAGUCGAGCGAGAACGUUACUUCGGUAGCUAGUAAAGCGGCGGACGGGUGAGUAACGCGUAGGAAUCUACCUUUCAGCGGGGGAUAGCUCGGGGAAACCCGAAUUAAUACCGCAUACACCCUAAGGGGGAAAGAGGGCCUAUCCUUGGAAGCUCUCGCUGUUAGAUGAGCCUGCGUGAGAUUAGUUUGUUGGUGGGGUAAUGGCCUACCAAGACUACGAUCUCUAGCUGGUCUGAGAGGACGAUCAGCCACACUGGGACUGAGACACGGCCCAGACUCCUACGGGAGGCAGCAGUAGGGAAUAUUGGACAAUGGGGGCAACCCUGAUCCAGCUAUGCCGCGUGUGUGAAGAAGGCUCUAGGGUUGUAAAGCACUUUAGGUAAGGACGAAAAGAAUAUAGUUAAUACCUAUAUUCCGUGACUUAACUUACAGAAUAAGGACCGGCUAACUCCGUGCCAGCAGCCGCGGUAAUACGGAGGGUCCAAGCGUUAAUCGGAAUUACUGGGCGUAAAGCGCGCGUAGGCGGUUUGUCAAGUUGGAUGUGAAAUCCCUGGGCUCAACCUAGGAACUGCAUUCAAAACUUAUAGACUAGAGUACGAUAGAGGAGAGUAGAAUUCCUGGUGUAGCGGUGAAAUGCGUAGAUAUCAGGAGGAAUACCAAUGGCGAAGGCAACUCUCUGGAUCGACACUGACGCUGAGGUGCGAAAGCGUGGGUAGCAAACAGGAUUAGAUACCCUGGUAGUCCACGCCGUAAACGAUGAGAACUAGCCGUUGGAUCUUAGAUUCAGUGGUACAGCUAACGCAUUAAGUUCUCCGCCUGGGGAGUACGGCCGCA
rnacentral:rRNA from 1 species